rnacentral:rRNA from 1 species
UGGCGUCAGGACGAACGCUGGCGGCGUGCCUAAUACAUGCAAGUCGAGCGAAUGACAAGGAGCUUGCUCCUUGAUUAGCGGCGGACGGGUGAGUAACACGUGGGUAACCUACCCUAUAGACUGGGAUAACUUCGGGAAACCGGAGCUAAUACCGGAUAAUACUUCGAAACACAUGUUUUGAAGUUAAAAGAUGGUUUCGGCUAUCACUAUAGGAUGGACCCGCGGCGCAUUAGCUAGUUGGUGGGGUAAUGGCUCACCAAGGCAACGAUGCGUAGCCGACCUGAGAGGGUGAUCGGCCACACUGGGACUGAGACACGGCCCAGACUCCUACGGGAGGCAGCAGUAGGGAAUCUUCCACAAUGGACGAAAGUCUGAUGGAGCAACGCCGCGUGAGUGAAGAAGGAUUUCGGUUCGUAAAACUCUGUUGCAAGGGAAGAACAAGUAGCGUAGUAACUGGCGCUACCUUGACGGUACCUUGUUAGAAAGCCACGGCUAACUACGUGCCAGCCGCUGC